UCUCAGCAACACAAAGAUGCUUUAUCCAACUUAUCUGCUGUGUUUAUUGUUGUGCUAUAUUCAGUGUUCCUGUGGACAGAUUGUGCUGACUCAGUCCUCAGAUGUCACUGUGUCACCAGGUGAAAGUGUCACCAUGACAUGUAAAGCCAGUAGUAGUGUUAGCAGCAACUUACACUGGUACCAACAGAAAUCAGGACAACCACCAAAGCCUCUUAUCUAUAGUGCAACCAGCAGAGUCACAGGGAUCCCAGACAGGUUCAGCGGCACUAGGUCUGGUAAUGAUUUCACUUUGGCAAUCAGCAGAGUGCAAGCAGAAGAUGCAGCAGAUUAUUACUGUCAGCAGGGUUACAGCUUACCUCUCACAGUGAUACAGAGCUGGUCUGAAUAUGAAAAACAGGAGACACCCAGUAACAGGUUAAUUACUGACAAUGAAAAGGAGCUGCAGGGGCAUUAG